rnacentral:lncRNA from 1 species
AUGAAUCUAUCUAUUUAACACACUAAAAUGAAAAUGGGUCUUAUGUUUUACAAUGCGGUGAAUAUAUUCAUUCAUCGGAUGGAUGAUUUGUUUUGUAGUUGUGUUGAGGUUAUUCAACUGUUAUUAACACAAACUUUACCUCCAUAGCCAUUCUAGCAUUUUGACAGAAUUUGUGGCCUAAUUGUGUUGUGGUUUGCAGGAGUUAGUGACCUUUAGUACUUGCCCUCUCUUAAAAUCACCAGAAAUUUCAAAUGCUGGAAAGCAUCUCUCUGCUGCGGAGUUUCAUUCGGUCCUGCAGAGUGCCGUCCUGCAGAGUGCCAGUAAGAUUUUUUUUUCUUUUUCUUUUUAUCUAUUGCUGCUAUAUUCUGUGUCUCAUCUGAUUAUGUUUUCUUGAAACUCAGACGAAAAACCGGAUGAAGAUGGGAAGUCUGAGAAUAAGGAACUUGUUUUGCUGGACGCGAGGAACCUGUACGAGACACGGAUUGGCAAAUUCGAAUCAGAAAAUGUUGAGACCCUUGAUCCUGA